CAUGCAGUCGANGGCAGCACAGGAGAGCUUGCUCUCUGGGUGGCGAGUGGCGGACGGGUGAGGAAUACAUCGGAAUCUACUCUGUCGUGGGGGAUAACGUAGGGAAACUUACGCUAAUACCGCAUACGACCUACGGGUGAAAGCAGGGGAUCUUCGGACCUUGCGCGAUUGAAUGAGCCGAUGUCGGAUUAGCUAGUUGGCGGGGUAAAGGCCCACCAAGGCGACGAUCCGUAGCUGGUCUGAGAGGAUGAUCAGCCACACUGGAACUGAGACACGGUCCAGACUCCUACGGGAGGCAGCAGUGGGGAAUAUUGGACAAUGGGCGCAAGCCUGAUCCAGCCAUACCGCGUGGGUGAAGAAGGCCUUCGGGUUGUAAGCCCUUUUGUUGGGAAGAAUCCAGCCGGCUAAUACCUGUUGGAUGACGUCCCCAAGAAAAGCCCCGCUACUUCGUGCCAGCAGCGCGGGAUACGAGGUGCAGCGUACUCGAAAUACUGGACGAAAGCGGGCGUGGUGGCGUUAGUCGUGUGCCGCCUGGCUACGGGACUCCCAUGGAUACGGG
rnacentral:rRNA from 1 species